AUAAAAAGAAAAAAAGAAAAAAGAAAAGCCUCCCUUUCUCUCUAUCCCCGCCUUGACCGGCUCAUGGGGUUCAUCGGUGCUUCAUGCACCUCCGCCUCUGUCGACGACCCCCGGAGUGAAUCCAAGUACAAGAGUACGGAGGUACGUGGUGGUACAAAGGCUGUCUGCUGGAGGUUGCUGAAGCGACGUAAGGCUGGUGUGGCUAGGGUUUCCUAAGAAUGUUUUCUCGUCUUGGGCUAUUUAGGCCCUAAGUUUGGGCUAGUUUUAUUAUUAUUUUUGGGUAUUGGGCUAUUUUGGAACAUUCUGUGCUUAGGUUUGUAUGGACUAUUGUAAAUGGACAAGACUUAUUUUAUUUUGAUUUAGCCUCUAUUUCUCAUUGA